GCAGCCAUGCCGCGUGAGGGAAGACGGCCUUUGGGUUGUAAACCUCUUUUUUCAGGGAAGAAAAAAAUGACUUGUACCUGAAGAAUAAGCAUCGGCUAACUCCGUGCCAGCACCCGCGGUAAUAA
rnacentral:rRNA from 1 species